CCGGAGAAACGUAUUUACCCGGGUGGGUAUUUUGACCCGUUGGGACUCGGGUCUGACCCAGAGAAGUUGGAUACCUUGAAGCUGGCUGAGAUCAAACACUCUCGUCUCGCCAUGAUCGCAUUCCUCAUCUUUUCACUUCAGGCGGCCUUUACCGGCAAAGGCCCCAUCAGCUUCCUCGCUACUUUUAGCAGUUAAAAAUGAGCCUUUAUAUCUUUGUGUUUCUAUGUAUGUUUUCUAAAAUAAUCUAAAACUAAAAAUGC
rnacentral:lncRNA from 1 species